AGUUGCGAACGGGUGAGUAACGCGUAGGUAACCUGCCUUGUAGCGGGGGAUAACUAUUGGAAACGAUAGCUAAUACCGCAUAACAAUGGAUGACACAUGUCAUUUAUUUGAAAGGGGCAAUUGCUCCACUACAAGAUGGACCUGCGUUGUAUUAGCUAGUAGGUGAGGUAAUGGCUCACCUAGGCGACGAUACAUAGCCGACCUGAGAGGGUGAUCGGCCACACUGGGACUGAGACACGGCCCAGACUCCUACGGGAGGCAGCAGUAGGGAAUCUUCGGCAAUGGGGGCAACCCUGACCGAGCAACGCCGCGUGAGUGAAGAAGGUUUUCGGAUCGUAAAGCUCUGUUGUAAGUCAAGAACGGGUGUGAGAGUGGAAAGUUCACACUGUGACGGUAGCUUACCAGAAAGGGACGGCUAACUACGUGCCAGCAGCCGCGGUAAUACGUAGGUCCCGAGCGUUGUCCGGAUUUAUUGGGCGUAAAGCGAGCGCAGGCGGUUUGAUAAGUCUGAAGUUAAAGGCUGUGGCUCAACCAUAGUUCG
rnacentral:rRNA from 1 species